UACGUAGGGGGCAAGCGUUGUCCGGAAUCACUGGGCGUAAAGCGCACGUAGGCGGAUCCUUAAGUCGGGGGUGAAAUCCUGGAGCUCAACUCCAGAACUGCCUUCGAUACUGAGGAUCUCGAGUCCGGGAGAGGUGAGUGGAACUGCGAGUGUAGAGGUGAAAUUCGUAGAUAUUCGCAAGAACACCAGUGGCGAAGGCGGCUCACUGGCCCGGUACUGACGCUGAGGUGCGAAAGCGUGGGGAGCAAACAGGG
rnacentral:rRNA from 1 species